AUUGAACGCUAGCGGGAUGCCUUACACAUGCAAGUCGAACGGAGUGGCGAACGGGUGAGUAAUGUAUCGGAACGUGCCCAGUAGCGGGGGAUAACUAUGCGAAAGCGUAGCUAAUACUGCAUACUAUUGGAGCGGCCGAUACCGGAUUAGCAAGUGGGUGGGGUAACGGCUCACCAAGGCGACGACCCGUAGCUGGUUUGAGAGGAGGACCAGCCACACUUGAACUGAGACACGGCCCAGACUCCUACGGGAGGCAGCAGUGGGGAAUUUUGGACAAUGGGGGAAACCCUGAUCCAGCCAUCCCGCGUGUGUGAUGAAGGCCUUCGGGUUGUAAAGCACUUUUGGCAGGAAAGCGGUACCUGCAGAAUAAGCACCGGCUAACUACGUGCCAGCCGCCGCGGUAAUAC
rnacentral:rRNA from 1 species